GAGGUCUUAGCUUAAUUAAAGUGCCUGGGUUGCAAUCAGGUGAUGUAUAUUAAAAUUUUACAGGCCUU
rnacentral:tRNA from 1 species